GACGAACGCUGGCGGCAUGCUUAACACAUGCAAGUCGUACGGUAAGGCCCUUUCGGGGGUACACGAGUGGCGAACGGGUGAGUAACACGUGAGUAACCUGCCCACAACUUUGGGAUAACGCUAGGAAACUGGUGCUAAUACUGGAUAUGUGCUCCUGCUGCAUGGUGGGGGUUGGAAAGCUCCGGCGGUUGUGGAUGGACUCGCGGCCUAUCAGCUUGUUGGUGGGGUAGUGGCCUACCAAGGCGGCGACGGGUAGCCGGCCUGAGAGGGUGACCGGCCACAUUGGGACUGAGAUACGGCCCAGACUCCUACGGGAGGCAGCAGUGGGGAAUAUUGCACAAUGGGCGCAAGCCUGAUGCAGCAACGCCGCGUGCGGGAUAACGGCCUUCGGGUUGUAAACCGCUUUCAGCAGGGACGAAGCUUUUUGUGACAGUACCUGCAGAAGAAGCACCGGCUAACUACGUG
rnacentral:rRNA from 1 species